GCUGGGCCUGGUGGUGCAUGCCUGUAAUCCCAGCAACUGGGGAGGCUGAGGCAGGAGGAAUGGGAGUUCAAAGCCAGCCUCAG
rnacentral:sRNA from 1 species